GCUGGGCAUGGUGGCACAUACCUGUGGUCCCAGCUACUUUGGAGGCUGAGGCAGGAGGAUCAUUUGAGCCCAGGAGGUCAAGGCUGCAGUGAGCCAAGAUUGUGCCAUUGCACUCUGGCCUGGGUAACAAAGUGAAACCCUGUCUCAA
rnacentral:SRP_RNA from 1 species